AUACCUUUCUCGGCCUUUUGGCUAAGAUCAAGUGUAGUAUCUGUUCUUAUCAGUUUAAUAUCUGAUACGUGGGCCAUUGGUUCACAUGAUAUUAAAUUAAUUUUUUGAGGGGGAGGGUCCAAAACAGUAGCUUGCUGCUGGGGCUUCUCGAGCGUCGCCUUGGCGUUGCACUAUUGCCUCGGCCUGGCGCACCCCAC